rnacentral:rRNA from 1 species
CUGGCGCACGGGUGAGUAACGCGUAUCCAACCUUCCCAUAACUACGGGAUAACCCGUUGAAAGACGGCCUAAUACCGUAUGACAUCGUUUGCUGACAUCAAAUAACGAUUAAAGGUUUAGCGGUUAUGGAUGGGGAUGCGUCUGAUUAGCUUGUUGGCGGGGUAACGGCCCACCAAGGCGACGAUCAGUAGGGGUUCUGAGAGGAAGGUCCCCCACAUUGGAACUGAGACACGGUCCAA